rnacentral:rRNA from 1 species
GACGAACGCUGGCGGCGUGCUUAACACAUGCAAGUCGAACGGAAAGGCAGCGAUCCGCGUACUUUGGUGUAAAUAUCACUUGGGUUAAGUGGCAGUCGGCUGCGUAACGCGUGGGCAUAACUCCUCUUACAAAGGGAUAGCCCCGGGAAACCGUGAUUGAUACCCUAUGACGCAUUCAUAGGGCCUCUGAAGGAUGUUAAAGUUACGGCGGAAAGAGUUGGGCUCGCGUCGCAUUAGCUCGGUGGUGAGGUCACGGCCCCCCAAGGCGACGGUGGGUAACCGGACGGAGAGGGUGAACGGUCACAUUGGAACUGAGACACGGUCCAAACUCGUACGGGAGGCAGCAGUGGGGAAUAUUGCACAAUGGAGGGAACUCUGAUGCAGCGACGCCGCGUGAGCGAUGAAGGAAUUCGUUUCGUAAAGCUCUGUUCUAUGGGAAGAAAAGGACGGUACCAUAGGAGAAAGCCCCGGCUAAAUACGUG